AGGUCAGUCGGGACUACCCGCUGAGUUUA
rnacentral:rRNA from 1 species